UAAGACGAACCGUGCAAACGUUGUUCGGAAUCACUGGGCUUAAAGGGCGCGUAGGCGGAUCCGCCAGUCUGUGGUGAAAGCCCCCGGCUUAACCGGGGAAGUGCCGUGGAUACUGCGGGUCUCGAGGAGGGUAGGGGCAUCUGGAACGCUGGGUGGAGCGGUGAAAUGCGUUGAUAUCCAGCGGAACUCCGGUGGCGAAGGCGAGGUGCUGGACCCUUUCUGACGCUGAGGCGCGAAAGCCAGGGGAGCGAACGGGAUUAGAUACCCCGGUAGUCCUGGCCCUAAACGUUGAGAACUAGGUAGUGGACUUAACAUGGGUUCACUGUCGAAGCAAAAGUGCUAAGUUCUCCGCCUGGGGAGUAUGGUCGCAAGGCUG
rnacentral:rRNA from 1 species